CUUGCCAUACAUGGAUCACGUGCGUGUUGGGUACCUGUUUUUGAUGGUGAUGUUAUUGAGUCCUCUGUAAUCAAUCCUGGGUCGCAGGGAUCCGUCCUUCUUGCUCACAAAAAAACCCCAGCGCCGGCCGGGGUUGACGACGGUCUAAUGAGGCCGGAAGCCAAGGAGUCGCUGAUGUACUUCUCCAUAGUCCUAGUCUCAGGGGCCGACAGAGAGAAUAGUCGCCCUCUUGGGGGCGAGGUCCCGGAAGGAGGUCUAUAGCACAAUCGUACGGGCGGUGAGGUGGUAGUGAGGUGGCCCGAGCCUUGUUGAACACCUCCCUCACGUCGUGGUAAUCCUCCGGUACGCCAGUGAGAUCUGGGGACUCAGGAAACACGGAGCGGGUAAUGGCAGAUGCAGGCUUUAAACAAACCGCGUGACAGUGAGAACUCCACCCAAAUAUAGUCCCAGUAGCCCAGUCAAUAUGCGGAUUAUGCCUCCUAAACCAUGGAAAUCCCAAAAUGACUGGUUUUUGAGGUGCAUGAAGUACAUGAAAGGUAAGUGCUUCACUGUGUUUACCUGACAUCUCCAAGCGCAGAGGGGUGGUUUGAUGGGUAACCCUGCAGAGUAGCCGACCGUCCAACGCCGUGGCCCGGAUGGGUCUUUCCAAAGCUACUUGCUCAAUCCCCAUCUUGAUGGCCAGGUCCCGGUCGAGGAGAUUUGCCGGCCUUGAUUCGGGGUCGAGAGGGCAUUUCUAAAUUCACCUUCCGGCGGUGAUCCUAAAGCUGCGUAAGCGACCCUCUCUCUUCUCCGCUCCCGCAGACGGCCGUCGAUCCGAAUGGAGAGAGCGACCAACGCGUUUAAACCAGCAGGGAGAUCCCGAGCUGCCAAUUCGUCCUUUACGCGGCUGGAUAAUCCGCGGUAGAAGGCAUCGCGAAGGGAGGCUUGGUUCCAGUCACUCUCCCCGUGUGAAAGUCAAUGGAAUAGUCGGAAACGGAUCGCGUUCCCUGCUGCAGCCCAAACAGUCCCCGGGCCGCCUCCCAUCCGGGAGUGGCAUGAUCAAAAACCCUCUGCAUCGCGGCGGAAAACGACAUGACGGAGGAGCAGAUAGGAUAGGAAUAGGAUUCUGCAGAAUAGGGCGGCACGGUGGUGUGAUGGUUAGCAUGGUGGUGUGAUGGUUAGCACUGUCAACUCACAGCAAGAAGGUCCUGGGUUUGACUCCGC
ensembl:lncRNA